GGACCCACAUCCUGAUGACAGUUCUGAUAUGUAAGCCAACACAACACAGGUGGCUUCCAGUGAUCGUAACUCUGAGAGACAAGUUUAAGGCCUGGUUCUGAGACAGUUUCCUGUCCGGGCCCGUCUAAUACUCUGCGUUUUUCAGGUUCCAAGAAGGCCUCUCUGCAUUGCCUAGCACAGCACUUAAAUGAACCCUUUCUGCCUAGCAGCGCGGCCGGCACAGUGGCCACAAACGCCAGUCACGAGAAUGGUGAUGAUGUCUCUUGCGUGAGGUUGGAGGACAAAGCUUGCGACACGCUGAGCUGCUGUCGCACCGCCUACGCCGUCACUUACGUCCUGCCGCAAAAGGCCUCUUUCCACGCCCCUCAGCUCGGCUUCCUACCUCAAUUCUAGGCUACACCGUCUCCUCCGGCCGUAAAGCGACCCUGCCGAGGCUGCGCGCUGCGGUCCGAGGGCGCGCGCCUUGGGCGGGGCCCGGGGCGACUCCGCCCCCUCGCCCGGCCCGGAGGAGUCCAUCCGGAAGGAGAAGGCCGGGCGGGGCUGCGGGACGGCCUGGCGGGGCGGGGCUGGAAGGCGGGCUGGGAGAAUCGCGGAGACCAAGCCCACCAGAGGCUGCGGGGAGGAGGGGGGGGGGUUUCCAGUGGGGAUUUCCCGGGUGUGUCAUUUCCUUCCCUUGUUGAUCGUGGUAACGUAGUUUCUGAUCACUGAUUGUAAGGGUUAUUGUCACUCUUGGUUAGAAGUCUCACCUUACACGGGGGACACCACGCAACUGUAUAAAACCAAUUUAGAAGUAGAAAGCAGGCUGGUGGGGCGGGGAGGAGGGACAACCUGCAUGGGCUUCAUUGUCAGGCAUAUUACAUGGACAAUUACAGAAAUAAACAACUCAUGCUUUAACUUGUGCACCUGUUCUGAGCAGCAUGAUGAUAUCUCUUGCUGACCCUCCUUCUGACCUAUUGUCAGAAGGUCAACAGAAGCCUAACUGUAGUCACAAUGCAGAUGUCACUCCCCUUACUUCAUCUCAUCGAGUAGGCAUUUUAUCAUCUCACAUUAUCACAAGAAGGGUGAUGAUACAGAACAAUAAGAUAUUUUGAGAGAGAGACCAGAUUAACAUAACUUUCAUUACCCUAUAUUGUUGUAAUUGUUCUAUUUUAUCAUUAGUUAUUGUUCUUAUUCUCUUGCUGAGCCUAAUUUAUAAAUUAAACCUUAUCAUAGGUAUGUACGUAUAGGAAAAAACAGCAUAUAUAGGAUUCGGUACUAUCUUGGGUUUCAGGAUCCACUGGGGGUCUUGGAAAGUAUCCCCAGCAAAUAAGAGGGGAUGACUGUAAUGUGAAUCAGACACAAUCUAUGACCCAUGAACCUACGUGGCUCCACAUGAUCAUUAUUCUUUUACAUGUUUUCAGAGGCUGUAGUCAAGCUGCUGGUCUAUAGUCUUGAAACUUCAUUUUUUUCUCCUUUUUGAAACCUGAGUGCACUGCCUGUGUGUAGUUUCUUUGAGCCCAGUGUAUUUAUUUUGUUAUCCUAUCCAUGAUAAAUUCUCAAGAGAUGCUUUGUUCAAUGAAUUCAUUCAAUAAAUAUUGGUUGAGCACUUACUCUUAAGAGCUGAAGCUGAAAGGGGGAACAAAGCAGGGAGUCAGUCCUACCAAAGCUCACAUUCUUGGGGGGCCAGGAGGGUGGGCGGAAGGAGAUGACAGCAGGCAGAUAAGCUUGAAGGAGGAGAGGAGUUUUAACAGAUGGAGAGGUAACAGGAUAGCCCAGCUUCUGUGUCCAGGGAAUGAUGAGUCAUUUUAUAUGGCAACUUGACUGGGCCAAGGGAUGCCCAGAUAGCUGUCUGUAAGGGUGUUUCCAGAAAAGAUUUGAGUUGGUGGACCGAGUACAGUCGAUGGCCCUCCUCAGUGUGGACUGGCACCACGCGAUCCACUGAGGGCCUGAGUAGGUCAAGAAGGUGGAGGAAGGUUGAAUUUGCUCGCUGCCUGACUGAUGGGGCUGGAACACUGACUUGUCCUGAUCUUGGCCUUCCUAGUUCUCCGGACUUCAGACUCAGACUAGAGUCUAUACCAUGUGUUCCCUAGCUCUCCAGCCUUCAAAUGAUACCACCAGCUUUCCUGGGUCUCCAGCUUGCAGAGAGCAGAUCGUGGAAGUUCUCAGCCUCCAUAAUUUUGUUGUUUCCUUCUGAAGCACUGUGACAGAACUGGAUGGUCCGACUUCUCAUUGCUGGUUUCCAGGGUGCGCUCAGACGAUGGACAGAACUCGUAAGCAUCAGUGCCUCUUUGUGUUUGUGCAUUUGUUGCUAAUUUCAAAUCAGCUUCUGUUUCAGAAGUGUGCGUGUCUUGACUGCAUUUUGAGAUAGCAUCUUUAGCCUACCUGAAUUGACAGCAUCUGUUCCUUCCCAUUUGGGUCCCAGCAUCCAAAGCAACAUGUGCCCCAGUUUCAGAGAGCAGGCGAAACACAUGCCUGCCAGUCACGCUGAACCCUGUCCUCUCGAAAGAACUGUUCUCACCUGCCCUUUUGUUUCAUUCAUUGCGGAGAAGUGUGGGUCCAACAAUGUCAUUAACGGGGUCCUUUGUGUUAAUAAACACAAUAGUUUGGGCUAACCAGUAGUUUGGGCUAAUCAUGCAGCCCUCUCAUCUCUGAAUUUGGCUGGUGGUGGCAGGCUGGGAGAUUUCAGACUCUCUUCAGCAGCACAGAGCAGAAUCGUCAGGCUGGAUGUGAGGCUGUCUUCGUGGGGCUGCAGCCUGUGUGGUUGCCCAGGGCUCUGUGCUUACAAAGACCCCAUCCUUGCCUAAAUGUUCUGCUGUUGUCAUCCUGAAAUUCUUCACUGGGGGUCCAUGCCUGGGAAGAAUAAGAGGGCAUCUGGUGGGAACACACCAUCACCAUCCUGGGUAGAUGUGGCCACGAAAGAAAAAUGCACAACCUACAAGGUUUGAGUUGUGUUUUAUUUGGGGAACUUACUGAGAACUAUAGCCCGGGAGAUGGCCUCUCAGCGAGCUCUGAGGAAUUGUUCUGAAGAGGUAAGAGAUGAGCCAGGAUAUAUAGGAGUUUUUGUUUAAAAAAAAAAACCAUGUAGUCAAACAUCGAAAGAUUAUUGCUAAUCACAAAAACUGGUCAUCUUAAGUUAGUGAUUUUAGUGCUUUUCUAUGUGUGGGAAGAUGAAAGCGUCUGGGCUCAUUGAAACUAUUCCUUAGAUUUGCAGGUGCCUGGGAAAGGGUGCAGCUAGAGGGUAGGGUUGCUUACCUGGAAUGCCAUCAGACAGUCACAGUUUUGCUAAGAGCUGGUCCAGGACAAGACAGCCCUAUAUUGUGUCUAAUCUGCAGGGAAAUUCCCUUUCUCCGCUGUCUCUUAGUGGCUGUCAGAGUAGUCAGUCAUGAGACAGGACCGCGGAGAACAGGACAAGGGCCAGGUGAGCCUGGGCCAGGCAGAGGAAGAAGGGAGAGUCUAAAGCAGGCUGUGCUUCUGUGUGAUGCUCUCUAACAGGUAGGUGGGGGAAGGACUUGGGAAGGGAGAACAGGAGAAGAUAAACUUUUCCUACUCCGCAGUUGAACUGGCAUGGUUCUGCCACAACCAAAAAGGCUCCUUCAGAAAUGAGCAAAGCCUCAGAACCAACUGCUGCAGGAUUGGAUGCAGCUGAGGAGAGGUGGCUGGGUUUGCGGGUGUUAAAGCCCAGGUGUUCUCUGGUAUGUCGCACGUCCUGCCAGAUGAGGUGUGUCCCUGUGGAAAACAGGCCCUUCAUCCCACGCUUCUGAGGAUGAGGUUGCAAUAAAGUUGAAAUGAGAUCACUCGGAAAGUGUUCCUAACUCAGCUUCUGGAUGUGAGCUCGCUUACCCUUCUGACAUUAUCUUUCAUUCAUUCAUCUAUUCAUUCAUCCAUAAAUAUUUAUUCAGUGUCUACUCUGUCAGGUGAUGCUGGAUGAGGUUGUUGGAAAUUAUCCUGGAUUUCAGUGAAUCGGGAGAAAUUCGGGGAGGUAGGCAUUGUGGUCAAAGAGCACUCAACUCUGCAAUUCCAAAACUUGAGCUAAUUCUCCUCUUCUUUGACCUGCUCCCCUUCGGGAAUUCUCAAAACGAGAAACUGGUUUCCCCUCUUUAAUUAGUCACCUUCAAUUAGUCAUUGCAUCUUUGCCUGUCUGUCUCCAAAAUCUCUCUGAAACUGUUCUGUCUCUUUUCCCACGACUCCUGUGUUGCUCUGGGACUUAUUCCCAAUCAGCUGGACCUAUAGACCUUCCUCAGCUUCCUUCCUCAGCCUCGCGUGCUUCUGUUCCAACCGUCACACCUCUACCAGAAUGAUCUAUCCGUUUAUUUUUUGGGGGGUGGGGGGAAAUUGAACCCAGGACCUCCUGCAUGCGAAGCAUGUGCUGUACCACUGAACUGUACCCACCCAUCCAGAAUGAUCUCUCCAAAAUGAAAAUUUAACUGUGCCCUACUCCUGUUUAAAUGGCCUAUCUGCCUACAUGAUACAUUUCAAGGUUCCUAGGUGAGUAUUAUGGGUUGCAUUGCACCGCCUCCCCCCAAAAAAGGUAUGUUGGAUUCCUACCCUCCACCAGUCUCUCAGAAGGUGACAUUACUUGGAGAUCAGGUUCUCAGAGAGGUGAUCAAGUUAAAAUGAAGUCAUGACGGUGGGUCCUGAUCCAAUAUGGCUGGUGUUCUUAUAAGAGGAGAGAUUGGAUACAGAGACAGACGGAUCCUCAGGGCGAAUGCCAUGUGAAGACUGGAGUUAUGCCACGAGCCCAGGAACCACGUGAAGCUAGGAGAGGGGCCUGGGAAAAAUCCUUCCCUAGCAUCUUCAGAGGGAGCACAGUCCUACUGACACCUUGAUCUCAGGCUUCUAGCUUCCAGAAUGGGGAACAAUCAUUUUCUGCUGUUUGAGCUGCCCAGUUUGGGGUGCUUUGCACUGGCAGUCCAAGCAAACUAAUACGAUGAGAGUCCCAUCUUCCAGGGCUUUUACUUCAUUUAUUCCUGCCACAAAUAUGUGUCAAGAACUGAUCAUAUGCAGGUACUGUGCUGGUUCUUGGGAUAGAGCUGGAAAUAAGACAGGUGGUCCUUGCCUUGUGGAACUUUUGCUCUGGUGAGGGCUGUAACAAGUGCCCAGGCCCUCGGAAUGAGGGGUAAGAGGUCUCUGAUUCAUAUGGUCCUGAGCGCACAAAAGCAGGAAUCAAAUCAGUACUUGGAAGGCUAGAGAGAGGUUCUCAGAAGAAGUGACAUCGAAUCUUGUUGUGAUAAGGACCCCCCCCCCUUGCCUACAAAAUGUUUUAGAUGAACUAUGAAGAAAGUGGGAAGAAGAGAAGAAACUAAGGUGAAUUCUGCAAACCACCCUGGCCGCCCUCUGAGAUUAUACUUUUGGGCAUGAGUUUUCCCAUGUGGUGUGAAGAAGCCCUCUUAGUACUUUGGUCCACACUGUGGGUACAGGUACCAGAACGUACCUACCAAGACGGAACUGUGCUAUGUACUACCUUCUGCUUUCCCUCUACCGGCCAGCUUUCCAUCAUGCUCCCUUUGGAGGCAGGCCUUGUCAUUUCUUUUCCCCUUCAAAGUUGGUCUUGUUCAUUUUAACCAGAUAUCAACUAUUUUAAUAACAUGGCAAAGAGAAUGAGAAGACAAGCUCCAGAGUGGGAGAAAAUAUUUGCAAAAGACAUCUGAUAAAGGAAUGUUAUCCAAAAAUAUACUAAGAACCCUUAAAACUCAAUCAUAGGAAAAGGAACGACCUGAUUUAGAAAUGAGCAAAAGACCUGAAUAGUCACCAAAGAAGAUAGACAGAUGGCAAGGAAGCAUAUUAAAAGCCAGCACAUCACAGAUCAUCAGGGGCAUGCAAAUUAAAACAACAAUGAGCUAUACACCUAUUAUAGUGGCCAAAAUCCAGAACACUGACAACACCAAAUGCUGAAGAGGAUGUGGAGCAGCAGGAACUCUCAUUCAUUGCCAGCGGGAAUGCAAAACGGUACAGCCACUUUGGAAGACAAUUUGGCAGUUUCUUAUAAAACUAAACAACUCUUACCAUCUGAUCCAGCAAUCAGACUUCUUGGUAUUUACCCAAGUGAAUUCAGAACUUAUGUCUAUACCUGCCUACGGGUAUUUCUAGCAGCUUUAUUCAGAAAUGCCAAAAUUUGGAAGCAACGAAAGAUGUCCUUCAGUAGGUGAGUGCAUAAUAAACUGCUACAUCCAGACGAUGCAGUAUUAGCACUAGAAAGAAAUAAGCUAUCAAGUCAUGAAAAGACACAGAGGAGCCUUAAAUGCAUAUUACUCAGUGAAAGAAGUCAAUCUGUAAAUGCUAUGUACUGUAUGAUUCCAAAUAUAUGGCAUUAUGAAAAGGCAAAAUUAUGAUGACAAUAAAAAGAUCUGUGAUUUCCAGGGGUGAGGGGGCAGGGAGGGAUGACAGGCGAAGCACAGAAGAGUUUUAGGGCAGAGAAGCUAUUCUGUAUGAUACUACAAUGGUGGACCUCUGUUGUUACACAUUUGUCAAAAACCCAUAGGUUGUGCAACACCAAGAGGGAGCCCUAAUGUAAACUGUGGACUGUGGGUCAUGGUGAUGUAGCAGCGUAGACCCAUCCGUUUUAACAGAUGCACCCCUGUGGCGCAAGGAAGUUGGACCUGUGUGGGGACAGAGGGCAUAUGGGAACUCACUAUUUUCCACUCAAUUUUGCUAUGAACCUAAAACUGCUCUAAACAAUAAAGUUUAUGGCUUAAAAACACAGCGAAAUGAAACACACAGGUGAAUUUGAGUUGUGUGUGGGAACUGUCAUCUCUCCAGGUUUCGUGCCUUUCUCCCGCUGCACAUCCCCAUGGAUAGCAUUCCCAGCCGUUUCUUCUGCUUCACCUCUGGCUCCUGUUUCCUUACUUUCCUUAGUUCCUUUCACUCCGUCAGAGUCCAAGGAAUGUCAAUUUCCUAGAAUGAUGUUUCUGCUAACGUCCAAUUUCCAGGGAAAAUACUCUCUUACUUUUCUGAUGCCCCGUAAACUUUAACUCCCUCUCCAAAUCUCUCAAAGCCUUCCCAGUUCUCACUGUCACUGGUUUAAUUCUAUUUAAUUGGGUCUGGGCUUUAUAUAUCGCCAUCUGGCUUCAAUAUGUAUGCUUUCAGUAUCUCUUAAUAUGUUAUCUCCUAGACCCGGAGCAUUUAUAAAGGUGUCUCAAAUGGAAUUUCAUUAAAAACAGAUGGAUCUUCUUUGAACCACUGCCUUAUCAAUGAACAAUACCAGCUGUCUCGCUAAUGCAAUCCCAGAGAAGAGAGACACCAUCUAAUGUAACGCCUUCCUUCUGUAGAUGAAUAAACUGGGGGCCAGAGAUGUUUAUGUGACUUUCCAAAGGUCACACAGCUAGACAGUGACAACACUGUGCUUUGAGUCAGAAGACCUGAGUUCUAGUCCCGGUCCAGUUUCCAUCAGUUCGGGCUGCUCCCAACAGCCUUUAGAUGUGUGGACGCAAAGUGAUGGCUACACAGUGUGAGAUUUCCCCAUCAGACUGUGAGGUCUUCAAGGGGACCUCGAGAGUGAAGUCUGCAUCCUUCUGCUGUCAGUCUGGGAGCACAAAUGAGUGAUGAUCAUCCCUUACGCUGAUUCCUCCGGGGGCCUUCAUACAGAUCACUGAGGAGAACUAUAACAUUUCAAGAUCUCUCCAACAGAGGAUGACUAGCAAGAAUUCCAGUGUGGAGAUCUGUGAAGAGUUUGACAUGGGGGAAAAAGCAAACUGUCAUCUUGAUAAAUAUGGGCUACAGAAGGCAUUCAUUCCAAUCUAAAUCAUUAAGGAAAUAACCGCAAGAAAUACAAAAUACAAGCCAGCUCUCUCCACCUGAUUUUCCACGCCUUUAUAGCUCACAGGGAACCACACAUGAACCUUUGCCUGGGUCAUCCCAGGGCCAUCUUUUCCUUUACUGUCCAAAUAAAGUGACAUGGCCAAGAAGAACUUCUUAGACUCCUACAGGAACCAACGUACUAGUUAAGCAAAUGUCUCUGGGAAGCUCUCUGAGCUAACUUUUCCUUUCCCGGGUUGCCCUGCUGUUUGGUUCGAGGCUGGAUGCAGACAGAAUUUUCUGGAGUGCCCAGCCUGGCAUCAGAUGAGCAGGCAAGCUUAACGGGGGGCUGCCGGAAAAAAUCACCACAAACUGAGUGGCUUAAAAAUGACAAAACUUUAUUCUCACAGUGCAGGGGGCCAGGAUUCUGAAAUCAAGGUGUCUCAGGAUUGGUUCCAGCUUGGAGUUCUGAGAGAGAAGCCGACCCACCCCUCUCUCUGAGCUGCUGGUGGGUGUCGGCAAUCCGAGUGGUCCUCAGCUCCUAGACAUAUUACACCAUCCGAUCUCUGCCACCAUCUCCAGGUGGUCUACAUCUCUGUUUUCUUAUCUUAUUAUAAGGCCAUGCAUCAUUGGAUUUAGGACCCACUCUAAAUCCAAGGUGAUCUCAUUUCAAGAUCUGCAAGAUCUUAUUUCUAAAUAAGGUCACAUUCCCACUUACCAACAGAAAGGACUUGGGUAUAUCUUUUGGGCGGACGCUAUUUAACCACUAUAAGUAUUACUGCUGAUAAUACUGUACAAUUCAGUGCUUGACUUUCUACCGUGGACCUGGGGUCUUUUGCGAUCAUGUGCAGUCUAAGUCUUGACCAUGAGGCCUUAGACAAGUCAUUCAACUCACCUGGUUUCAGUUUCUCUUUUUCAGCAGAAAAAGAGAUGAUUGGCCUAGUUCUCACAUUUUGGUUCACAUUAGAAUUUAAAAAUCUCAUUGCCUGGGCCACAUGUCGUAUCAAUUAAACCAGAAUCCCUUGGGGGUGGGGCUUAGUCAUUAAUAUUGAAAAAAAAAAAGUACAGGGAAUAGAGCCAGUAUUUUAUAAUAGCUAAAAACAGUAUAACCUAUAAAAAUUUUGUUACUACGUUGUACACCUGAAACCAAUACUGUAAAUCAACUCUACCUCACUGAACAAACUCUUCAGGGGAUUCCAAUGCACAGUGAGUUGGAGACUAGUGCUUCUCAGCUUUACAUGUGCAUGUGGAUCACCAGGCUGAGGGUGGGGUGGAAUCUCAGGGUGUGGGGGGAGGAUUUUGUGAAAAUGUAGAUUUCCAUUCAGCAGGCUUGGGGUGGGCCUAAUACUCUGCAUUUCUAACGAGUUUCCAGGCCACCCUGCGUGACCUCCCAACACCUUUGCAAGCUCUUACAUCAUCAGAUUCACUUUCCUGCUGUGGAAGGUUUCUAGUCUGUGAUGGAGUGAGGGAGAAGCAACAUCUGUAACAGGAAAUAGCUUUUUCUGCGAGAAGGUUCAGUUUGGAGGUGAAUCCGUCUGCUAUGGAUAAACGGACUCAGACUCAAAUGACACUGUUUAGAAACAGUUUAUCUAAACGGAAGUGAGCAUCCAGCCCUGUGUGUCCUGCCCCGGGUCCCGGAAGGCCUCUGCUUAGUGUAACAAGCAUUCAUACGGCCUCCUGGAGACCUCUGGAUGGACAGCGCCCUUGCAGCAAACUAACAUGCCAAAACAGCAGCGGCCAGGAUGUAAAGUCUCCAGGACGGGUCCUGGAUUCUCAGCAGUGAUUUUCACCAAUGGCAGGGUUUUAGGGUCACCUGGGAAUGUCCAGUGACGUCCACGCCCCGGCCCUGGAAAGGCCCAUUAAAACAGUUUUUCUGGGGUGAGGCUUGAGCAAUGGUCUGCUUUAACUCUGCUCCAAUGAUUUCAGUGUGCCCUGGGGACGCUUCACAGGUUCUCUGGAUCCCCCGGUUAUAGGAGGCAUAUCGGGUCCAUGUUCAUAGUCCUGACCACGCGUGAGGCACUGUGUUCAUUGCAGGGGAUUUGAUAGAGAGCAGGAGGGCUUCUAUUCAAGUGGAGGGCAAGUUAUCAUGGAACUUGAUGGAAAACAAGUCAUUGUGGAUUUAUAAAUUUCCGUGGUGAUCACAUGCUAUAAAGGUGAAGGACAAGAUCCUGUAAGAGUUUUGGGGACCCGAUAUUAUGGGGACCAACCCGACUGAAGAGGGCAUCCUUGAAGAAGAGACAUUGGAACAGGGUUCUGAAAGUCAGGAUUUUCUAGGAAAAGAAGUUGGGGGAGAAUGUUCCAGGUGGAGGGAACGGCCUGUGUCAAAGCCUGGAAAAGGGAGGAGCCUGUGGACUGGAGGAGCAGAAAGAGGCGGGUCGGGUACCAAGAGGGAGGAGGGGCGGGGCCUCUUGGGGGAUGCGGUGUCCGCUGGCUUGUAAAUGCUUCAGUAUGUUUCCACUUGUUUAUAUUCUCUCUUUCUCAGGUAAAGUCCUCCAGGCAGAGUGCGUGUGCCUUCUUAUUGCUUCUUUUCUUUUUUUUUUUUCUAAUGGAACGCUUCACGAAUGUGCAUGGCAUCCUUAAACAGGGACCAUGUUAAUCUUCUCUGUAUCCAUCCAAUUUUAGUAUAUAUGCUGCCCAAGGGAGCACCUCUAAUUGCUUUUAACUUUUGUUCUUUCCUCAUCAUCUCCCACCCCUUUACACGAUCACUGAAGUCUACAAGGAGCCCCACCUACAUUUUCUUCACUUAAUUUUUAUAAGGCAGAAGAUUAAAUCAUUGUUUAUAGAAGAGGUAGCUUACAUUUAGAGAAGUUAUGCCACUCAUCCAAGGUUACGGAAUGAGUGGAGACUCCUCCACUUUCUUUUCUUCUUGUUUUUUACUUUUCUUUCUUUUUUACAAAAUGAAAUAGGAGUAUAUAUACUAUUUCACAAUCUGCCUUUUUCAUGUGCCACGAUCACUCAUUAUAUUAUCCACAUUCUUAAAUAUUCUUCAAGAAUGUGAUUUGUUUUUAAAUGGCUGCUUAGUAUUCUGUUGUUUGGUUAUGUCCUAAUCCAAUCAGGCAAUGCUAUAUUACUAGUUGUUUUCUCUGAUUUUUCUAAAUGAUCGUCCUCAGCAAUGAAAAUCCUUAUACAUAAAUCUUUUUUAUUUAAUUUGCUGUUUACCUUUUCAAAAAUGGAAGUACAGUCAGUUUACAAUGUUGUGUCAGUUUCUGGUGUACAGCAUAUAUAAAUUUUUGAGGACAUUUUUUGAUCAUUUCUUACGGAAAAAAAUUUUAUAGACAGAAUUACUGGGUCAAAGGCUAUGUAUGAUUUUAAAGUUUCUUAUACACAUGGCUAAAUUGCCUUCCAGACUGAUGGAACAGAUUUAACUUCUCAUCAGCAGUGUAUGUGGUUGCCUGGGGAAAACACUUCAGUCAAGCAAGGCCAAUUGAUCUGUAGCACUUUGAUUGCCGAGAUUAUUUCACUCAAAGUAAAUGAAACAUCUUGUUUCAUGAUGGGCGAUGGAGCGCUUCAAAGCCUGGACCCAACCCUUGCCCUUGGGUAACGCUCACCUCUUCCCCAUAUCCGCUGAGGCUCCUUUAGGUCCAGGUGGCUUUGCUAAUGUUUUUCUGGGUCUAUUCUCCCCUUUUUUGCUUCCCGCUUACAAUCCUUCUGAUCGUCUAGAUCAAGCUUGGGUAUCUCUUGAAAUAUUUGUAAGAUGCAUGAGCACAGGUUUACCAUCGUCCCUCAAUAAUUAGAUUUGUUACCUUAAAUAAUUUUCCAAUUUCAAGAAUUCCAUUUUUAUCAUCACUGAAAUCAAGAUUUUUAAUGUUGGAAGGGACUCUGGUGGUCGUCAGGCCCAUUCAUUCCAUCUGCAGCAACCAACUGGUGAUGGGUGAAUGUCUGGAUGUCCAUUACCUGAUGAGUGAUUGGUACCAUUUUUGGUCCUUGAAGUGGUUACCCAGAGAACCAGUCUACUUUCCUUCAGGCUUCAAGAAAUUGGGCAAUAUUUGAAACAUACAAAAAUGCAGAAAAUAAUGUGACACUAAUUGUCCUACCAUGCGUAUUUACCCAGUGUGAGUCUUCUGUUAUAUUUGUUCUAGAAAUUUCUUUAAAAAGAGAAAUAGAGAGUUCUAAAUAUAGUCACUCCAACUGCUUAUUUUCAAGAUGGUCGUGACUAUUCUAGGCCCUUUCAUUUUCAUAUAAAUUACAGAAUAAAGUUUUUCUAAUGUGAAAAUUUAAUUGUAUGUCUGUGGACCCUUGAAAGUGUUUUGUGAACAGACUGCUUGGCUGCUUUGCUCCAUUUCGUGUUGGAAUGUUACUGUUUUGGUGUCAAUUUCUAAUUGCUCUUUCUUGUUAUACAUGUUAAAAUUGUUAUUUGCAUUUAUUUGUUUACCUUUCAAUUUUGUUUCUUUCUUUUUUUAAACAGAAGUGUAAACGUUUUAUUUGGUCAAAUAUAUUGGUCUUCUUUGUGCCUUUUGUUUUGGUGCUAAGCUUAGAAAAACUACCUUUAUCUUAAGAUCAUAUAAAUCUAUUUUAUAGGAUUAAUCCAUUAUUUUAUAAUAGAUGAUAUAAAUCUAUUUUCUUUCAGUCACUUUCACAUUUAACUUUUUAGUAUAGUUAGAAUUUUGGAUAAGUUAUGGGGCAGAGUUCUAACUUUAUUGUUUAUCAUCAUUUAUUCAUCUGUCUUGAUGUUAUUGGUCACCCAUCACUUUCUCAGAUGCUACUUGUAUCUUAUAUCAACACUUACAUGUACUUGGAUUUGUUUUGGGUCUCACUAGUCUAUGACAUUGAUCUGUCCUUUUAUAGUGUAUCACAUUCAUAUGCCAAUAUUAUAACUUUUUGACAAUUUAAAUUUCAUUAUAUAUUUUAAUAACUGGUGAUAUGGCAAUAUGGUUUUAAUUUUUCAUAAUUAUUAUUGUGUAUCUUAGGUAGUUUUUAUUCU